rnacentral:rRNA from 1 species
GCACAAGCAGCGGAGCGUGUGGUUUAAUUCGUUGCUACACGAAGAACCUUACCUGGGUUUGACAUAUAGGUUGUAGGGAACUGAAAGGGACCGACCCUUCGGGAGCCUGUACAGGUGCUGCAUGGCUGUCGUCAGCUCGUGUCGUGAGAUGUUCGGUUAAGUCCGCUAACGAGCGCAACCCGCGUUGUGUGUUAUAUGUGUCACACAAUACCGCCGGUAUUAAGCCGGAGGAAGGUGCGGAUGACGUCAAGUCAGCAUGACCUUUAUAUCCAGGGCUACACACACGCUACAAUGGACAGUACAACAGGUUGCCAAGCCGCGAGGCGGAGCCAAUCCUCUAAAGCUGUCCUCAGUUCAGAUUGCAGGCUGCAACUCGCCUGCAUGAAGUUGGAGUUGCUAGUAACCGCAGGUCAGCUAUACUGCGGUGAAUACGUUCCCGGGGAUU